AUGGCGGGCGUGGCUGUGGCGCCGCGGCUGGUGCUUCUGCUGCUGCUGGCCGUCGCCGGGCUUCCGGCGGCCGUGGGGCUCGGGGUGAACUGGGGCACGAUGGCGUCGCACCAGCUGCCGCCCAGCACCGUGGUGCGGAUGCUGCAGGACAAUGGCAUCAAGAAGGUGAAGCUGUUCGACGCGGACGCGGAGCCGCUGGGCGCGCUCGCCGGCUCCGGCAUCGAGGUCAUGGUGGCCAUCCCCAACAACAUGCUCGACAUGAUGACCGACUACGACACCGCCAGGGAGUGGGUGCACAAGAACGUCAGCGCCUACAACUUCGGCGGCGGCGUCAACAUCCGAUAUGUUGCCGUCGGGAAUGAGCCGUUUCUGUCGUCCCUGAAUGGCACCUUCCUGAAUGUCACGCUCCCGGCCCUGCAGAACAUCCAGAAGGCCCUUGACGAGGCCGGCGUUGGCGACACCGUCAAGGCCACCGUGCCGCUGAACGCCGACGUGUACCAGUCCCCCAAGGACAACCAGGUGCCGUCGGCCGGGCGGUUCCGGCCGGAGAUCUCCGGCCUCAUGACGGAGAUCGUGCAGUUCCUCAACCAGAGCGGCGCGCCCUUCACGGUCAACAUCUACCCGUACCUCAGCCUGUACGGCAACGACGACUUCCCGCUAGACUUCGCCUUCUUCGACGGCGCCAGCAGCCCCGUGGUCGACGGCAACAUCCAGUACACCAACGUGUUCGACGCCAACUUCGACACGCUCGUGUCGGCGCUCACAGCGGCCGGCGUAGGCGGCCUGCCGGUGAUCGUCGGUGAGGUCGGCUGGCCGACCGACGGCGAAAAGCACGCCACGGCCGCCUACGCGCAGCGGUUCUACACGGGCCUGUUCCGGAAGCUGGCGGGCAACGCCGGCACACCUCUGCGGCCCAACCAGUACAUCGAGAUCUACCUCUUCAGCCUCAUCGACGAGGACGUCAAGAGCGUGGAUCCGGGCUACUUCGAGCGGCACUGGGGCGUGAUGCGGUACGAUGGCCAGCCCAAGUACGCCAUGGACCCGACCGGGCAGGGCCGGAACACGGCGCUGGUGGGGGCCCGAGGCGUGGAGUACCUCCCACGGGUGUGGUGCGUGCUCAACGCCAACGCGGCCAACAUGAGCAAGCUCGCGGACAGCGUGGGCUACGCGUGCACCAACGCCGACUGCACCUCGCUCAGCCUCGGGUCCACGUGCAACGGCAUGGACGCCGCGGGGAACGCCUCCUACGCCUUCAAUGCCUACUUCCAGGUGCAGGACCAGGACGAGGUGGCGUGCGGCUUCGACGGGCUCGCCGUGAGCACGCGCCAGGACCCCUCCACGGGCACCUGCAACUUCACCAUACAACUCGAGACCACCUCCGCGGGGGGACGGCCGACGGUACUCUUGACGACGGCCCUGCUCGCCUUGGUUCUUGCGGCCAUGGUGACCAUGCUCUGA
rnacentral:rRNA from 1 species